CGAUUUUUCUUCGGCGAUUAACUAUGUCCCCGGUGAAUCUUAGUCAGUCAUUGUUUACUAGCAAUUUUUGUAUUUGAAGCGUAGUUCCUGUGCAUUUAUUAAUCUCCAAUGCGAUUUAUAUCAGUUCAAAAGAACGAAAGGAUAUCAGGAGGUGAAUUUCUACCGAUUGUUGGGGCGCCUCGUGACCGAGGAUGAAGCCGGCGCCUCUAGCGAAGUGAAACAGUGGAGGGGCACCUUAAUUCGCCGUACAUUUCCCCUUAUUUGGGCUUCCGUGCUCGAUCCGAAGCCAGGAGGGAGACCGGUGACUUGGGAGGGACCGAGAGGGUCGGGCCUACGAGUUAUACCGCGGGACGCUUGCUGAGUGACGAAUGUGUAUACCCGUCUUAUUCACCUCCUACCGUAUUCGGCGACAGGCUUGCAGAUCGGCCAAGAUUAAGCCUGUAAUUCUAAUCGCCUCGCUGUUCGUUUUGGCGAACCUUCUUCUCCAUGGGAAUCGUCUGUUUUCUCAAUUGCAUCCGUACCAGCGCUCGUCCGCCGUUCCUGGCUAGGAAAAUAGAUGUACUUUGGAUUAUAAUACUCAAUUGGACUAGUUCCUAGAGGAGACGUUCGUACCACAAAUAAUACCUUCAGAACCAGCUGAAAUAUCGUGGCGAUCGAUUCACGCCGCAUCCUGCAUCUAGAACCUCUAAGCUCAACUGCCGUAUCGUCAAUGAAGUUUCAAUAUAGGAGAAUCCGUGGUUACAAAGAAAACUCGUCCUAUUUCAAAUUCCGCUGUAGCCUCCUUGUCGCAUAUUCAGCCUAUUUUCCUCCGUCCUCGGUUGACCGGCGCAAUUCUUCGCGCACUGGCUACAGCUCGCAGAUUGCGUCACGUGACAUCGCGCGUUUUAUUGCGCGGCAUUUCCUUCGUGUAAAUUCCUUGCCCGCGCCAUACUUUACCCUUUCAUCCUCUGUUCAACCGGUCUAUAAACGAUCGGUUUCACGAAUCGCUCUGUUAAUGCCGCGACAUAAAGCGCACGAUAACGCGAUAGAAGGAAAGCGGUGGAAAAGAAUACGCGCGGCGGGGGGAAAAAAGCGUCGUUCGGUAGGUGGCCCCUAACGAGAUAUCCCCUAUAGGGGCAAGCUUUCAAAUGCCUUUCCCGUGUUCCACGAUCUGUCUGUCGCACCGUUGAUACCCGUCAAAGCGACUCCAAGUAAUAAUAAGUCGAUCUAACCCGUGCCGUUACUCCCCUAUUAUGUUUCAUGUAGAUCCGUGGCCGGAGAGAAAAGUGCGCACGGUGCCAUGCCGGUAUAACAGAGUGCACCACGACUGGCGACCUUAGAAAGGCGAUCGUUUAUUGUUCCCUCGACACGUGCGUGUGCUACUCGUACACGAGCAAAACCGCGAAACGAGCUGGCCAGCAGCCACCACGGAUCCGCCACAAUGAAACACGCGGGACAGCAUUCUGAGCGUUUCGCGAUCGACAACAAAGCGGUGGUACAUUCUCGCGUUUAAGAUUGAUUUGUGAGCGUUGCGGACCCGGGAUCUCCUAUUCACGUAUCAAGCAUAUUGUGACGGAUAUCGCCUGGAGAAAAUUGCUCAAUUCAGAGCUGUACGCUGGCUACCAACGAUGUUCCUUGUGCUUGUUGGAUCAUCCAGUGAUGUAGCUAUCGUCUGGAACACCCUGACGCGUGACCAUCGCUUAUCUCUUUUCAAUUCCGUGGAGCUUCACCAGCGAGUUAAAGAGCAUCACAGCGCCUGGAACAAGCAGAAUUGUGUUUGUAAACGACGUUUACGAGAUAAAGAUCACACCAGGCGACACAUUCCAUGGCUAAUCGUAUAUAAGUAGGAGAAGAAGUUUUUAAUGAAACGAUCGAUAAAAUGAAGAUAAUAGAAUUGUACAGAUGGUACAUAUGUAAAUUGAGGAAUUCUAACGCGUGCACGAAUGUUCGUGAAUGGGAUUUCGAGGAGGCGAUCGUUCGAGGUGACGAAUUCCAUGGCCAAUCGUAUGUACAUGCGGCGAAUCAACGUUUUAAUUCACUGCCGGUUCAUUCAGCCGCCUCAACGACCACGUUGACCGACCGCAAUGGAAUCCAACUGAACCACCUCUUGCGGGAUACCGCCACGAGUUAAUGUAGUGCGUAUUACACCAUUACAUGUUCCGUUUAAUCAUGCCUCGCUAAUGGUCCACGUACUUCCUUCAUCGACGAUGUCGUCCUUACGUCUGGAAUGGAGAACGCAAACUCGGUUUCUUUUUUCUCGUCGGGAUAGUUUUCCUGUUUACCCGCUCGAUUUUUAACGCUUGAAGCCGUCUGAACAAGUUCUGACGUUCAAUUUGUUACAUUAGACAACCUAAGUUACGUUCAAAGUAAUUUGUAAUAUAAUCUUCUAUUCAGAAAGAUAUCAAGUAAUGUUAAUAUCUCUGGAAUAAAAGUUUCU